rnacentral:rRNA from 1 species
GACACAGGGAGGUAGUGACAAGAAAUAACAAUACGGGGCUUAAUGUCUUGUAAUUGGAAUGAUGGGAAUUUAAACCUCUUCCAGAGUAUCAAUUGGAGGGCAAGUCUGGUGCCAGCAGCCGCGGUAAUUCCAGCUCCAAUAGCGUAUAUUAAAAUUGUUGCAGUUAAAAAGCUCGUAGUUGAAUUUCUGCUGCAUUACAUAUCUCUUGUUUGAGUUUGUUUUUGUGGCUUAUUUCGGUUUGAUUUUUCUUUCCGGAUGAUUACUUUGAGAAAAUUAGAGUGCUCAAAGCAGGCUUUUGCCUUGAAUAGUUUAGCAUGGAAUAAUAAAGUAGGACUUUGGUUCUAUUUUGUUGGUUUUAGGUACCAAAGUAAUGGUAAUAGAACAGUGGGAUA